rnacentral:sRNA from 1 species
GACCUUUGUCACUCCACGGAUCACUAGGGCUAACUGGGAUGAUCUGGCUGGCUGCACAGGGUCC